UUUAUGUCUUUGAUUCUGUUCUCAUUUGUUUGUCUACAAUGCCAUGAAAGAUAUUAGUUACUGUUUAUAGGUCUCUCCUUCUUCGUCUUAUACUAUAUAGGGAAUCUGAUUGCAUAUGAACCGAUGAUAAAUAAUAAUAAUCUUAAAAGGCUAUAAACAAUGUUCUCUCAUCCAUUCCACUUUCUAUACAAGAUCUUGACUUGCAGAUUUGGUUCAUAUUCACACUAACUGACAUUCUGUCUGCUGAUGCAGUUUUCAAGCUAAUCAAUAUAUUCCUCUUCCAAGCCACUCUCUUGUGUGAUGAAUGACAACGUAGUGGAGUUGUUCUACCAUCUCCUACUACUGUGGUCAUUUCACUGAUAUUUUAUUCUUGAGUUUCUUAAUUCAAGGGACUUGUCAGCCAUUUGGGACUUAUAUAUGUCCAACACAUAUAACAAUCCCACUUUCUGCACCAUAAAUGAUACAUAAUAAGUCAUAUUCAAACCCACAUUGGCAAUGAGAGAAAGUCUCUGUUACCAUGUUUCACUUUCAAGCCAUGUGGAGUUUGCUAGGGAAGGAAGGUCGCUUCAGUUCAAUACAGGUAUCUCAUCAUGUUGGGUAGCUGAAAGAGUUUUGUUGUUGUGGAGUCCUGCUUGUUUAUAACUGUGUUUUGAUUCACAUGUUUCCUGGUUCAUGUCCAAAAAGGGUUCUGCAGAUUUCCUGUUGUUGGAAUAACUAGAUAGUUGAAAUAGCAAUGAUCUUGUUCAUGCUGAUUCACCUAAUUUAGUUUAUCUGAAGAUUAAGUCAAAGAUAUUCUCAAAGAUCUAUCUGCCACAAUAUUAUAUAGGUGAAAUCGUCAAACUUUUAGACUUUUAUGCAGAGUUUAAUUAUUGUUAUUACUUUUCACUAUUAUCUUAAGUUUUGGGGGUGGGCAUCUGUAAUCUGUGUGCUGUUCACAUCCAUCAGUCUGAGUCUACAGUUUAUCUUUCUGUGUUGUUAAAUAGUUUUGGGAGAGCUCUUGUGUGUUUUUUGUUUUUCUGAAAAAGAUAGGGAAAAUUUUGAAGAUUUAAGGGAUAAGUCAGUGUUUCCUCAAUGUUAAGUGCUAUCAAUUUAGAAUAAGUACAAAAGGCUUAGGACAAAUAGCAGAUCUAAAGGCGUUUGUCUAUGGAUAGCUUUUAUGUUCUUUAUUGGAACUCCUUUUAAAGACCUGACGUACCAACCCCAACCAUGUGUUUUAGAGUUAUGCACAGCUUUUUAUGAUGCUUUUGUUAUGACUAUUCUAUUGUGGAUCCUAUUCUUACGUAUAUAUUCAUGCAGAGAUCUUCGUACUUUUCGGGUCAGGCCAUGUGACUUACUUUUCAUGCAAAAAGCUUCCCCAGUCUUUUGUCUUUAAACUCUUAUACUUUCGUGAAAAGAUCCAACACUUUAGCCAGUUUGUUUUAGCUACCACCUUCUUAAAAGCAACAAUGUUGUUUUGACAGCCUUUCAAAUUUUCUUGUCUUCUGUUUGAUGCUUGAUGGUGAGGCAGAACGAUAAACUCAAAGAACAUGGCGAGUGGCAUGGAAAUUUCUUAGCUAGUGGCCUCUAAGCUCAUGGGCUAUGUAUAUGGGGAUUUCAGUUUGGGCUUUGCUAUAUUGGGUUUAACAAAACUGAGGUAUAAUCAGAGAAAGCAAAUGAUAUUAAUACCUCAAAGGAGGUGGAGACACAAAAACUUGUGAACAAAAAUGGAAAAAGAGAUGUAAUCCUUCUUGAAAUUCCUGUCACAACUUUCGUAACUUGUUGGAAUUUCUUUCAAGAACCUCAAUGAUGCUAAUCAUAUCCGAAAACGCGCAUUCUGGUUUCCUCUGACUUGUGUAAGUACCAAGAUUUAAGUAUUAAAACUACAGAUAAGCCCUACGCACCUUAUUAAAGGUAUAUUCACGUUUAUGUAAAAUAGGUAAUUAAAGGGUUAACUAUGUUCAUUGGUGGCAUAGAAAGUCCGAGAAUUUAGACGCGUUGGUUAGAAACUUAGGAGAAGAAGCAAUUCAGUUGUUUAGCUGACAUUUACAACCAAGUUGUUUUUUUUUUUUAAUAAGAGGAAGAGAACGGUUUAAGUGACAUCACAUAUUUCAUAAUUAAUACUUUUGUAAGAACCUAGUGUCUUCCUUAAUUUUUUAGUAUUUUGUGUACCUGCUUCCUCUAUUCGAGACUGUGGUCCACUCUGUGAGGAACCCUAAUGCAACAAGCAAUUCAAAUCCCUCUUUCCCUAAAUUUAAUUAAUACUUU